GAUGGCAAAGCCUUUGUAUGGAGAAAAACAAGGAAUGAAACUUAGAGUUUAGUAUAAAUGCUGAGAAGCAUCCCACGGCCACUGGCAUGUCAAAGCCACUAAACACGAUUGUGAGAGAAUGACAGCUUUGCCUCUGGGCAGUAGCAGCUAGUUGUGAGUUGUGUCUGUCCUCAAUCCUGCCACCCUUUUGCCAGCCAAACAGAAUGAGAAUCUACAACAUGACUGUUUAGAGGUUCUGGAGGCUGGGUAUUCUAGCAGGAUGGAUCUGUCACAUCAGCUGAUGCCAGAAGAAGAUUGGGACCUUUUUCACUGAUGGGAGCAACUUUGUGGACAAUGAGGGAUGGAUACGCAGCGAUCACAGCAGUGGCACUGCCACCUGGGACUUAAGCCCAGCAAGCUGAGUUGACGUUAUCAAGAGGAAAAAGGAGCUGAUGGGGCCUUUGCCGAGUUCCUGCAUGUGUACAGGAACAGGCCUCAGGGGAUGAUGGGAUGACAGGCAUCAACAGUCCAAGGAAAGAGGCCAAGCCAAUGGAGAAUAACAUGCUGGUGAUGGAGGCUGUGGACAGACAGCUACAGAGAUGGCUCAGCAGCUCCUCCUCCUACAGCAAAGAUGUCAACAGACACCCCACUGCCAACAGGACCUAGGAGCACACUCAAUGGAGCCCUGGACAUUUAGCAAGAGUGAUAAUAGACCCUUCUUUGCAGCACAGAUAACCCAGCAGUGCCAAGUUUGGGACUUUCUGGAAGCACGACAUAAAGAGCUAGAGAGAAGCAGCUGUCUAAAAUUCUGAUUUGGAAGAUCAGAUGAAUAAAUUCAGACUCAGGAACCAAAAGUACAAUAAUAUAACUGUCAAGUACUGGUAACAGAGUGUCAGCCUCCUGGGUCUGCAAGCUUUCUAUAACCAUAAAUUCAAUCAGAAGAGUUGUUGCUCAGGUCUGAAAGCUGCCAUAGAUGAUAAGCAAUAAAGGACUGAAAAACAUAAUAUCAAAAGAACUUCAAAAAAGUGAUACAAGUAUGAACAACUGGAUAGAAAUGGGGCCAAAUAAUGUAAACAGACAAGUUAUAAGAAAAUAAGUAAGAACAGCCAAUAAACACAUGCAACAUUCCCAGGCUGAUUAACAAGGAGAGAACCCAACAGGCCGUGAUAGUCAAAUGAAAAUGGUACAGCCAAGAGCACAGCUGGCCUGACCCUAGGCUUUACAUCGAAAAGAGGCAGCUACACCUUUGGAGGAAACAUUAUCUUCCAUUGCUUUCAUGAAGCAACACUGCUGUCUCAUUGGGGUCCUUUAUUCAGAAGUGUUCUCCUGCAUUUCUAAGCCUGAUUUACUGAUAGCUCGGCUAAAUUGAAACUUCAUGGUGUACCUCAAGCCCCUACUGAUUAAGUGCCAGAUAUUUGAAAACAAAAAUGGAUGUGUUUGCUCCACUCAGUGGGCAGAACUCAAGGAGUCCUAAUGGCCCUGGCCAAUACUGUCCUUGAGGAAACUUUUUUGACAUUUUUACUAACAUUUUGGCUGUUACCAAUGUCCUGUCUGGUCUGCCACUCAGAAGACUGCAGAUUGACUGAUUAAAUACACCCCUCUUUGGACAUGAAAUGCGGAAACAAAUCUCAGCUGGCAAUGUGACAGACUCAGUCACUCAUGUGGACGUCUAUGGUAAAGGCUCAUCCUCCGAGGGCAACCUGGAUCAGGCUGCUGAACAGGCCUGCACCGCUCAGAUGCUCACCAGCCCCACCUGAAUCCUUCAUCACACUGGAUAUGGCAACACAUCCCCUUGUGUAGACUGGGCACGGGGUAAAGGACUAUAUGUUUCUGGUGCAGAAGUCACCACCACAUACCAAACUUGUGACUCUUGCCAAAAGUUGGCCUGUUUAAUUUGCAGUUGAGAGGACAUGUUGCAGGAAUUGUUGACCCUACCCUUUUCUGGCAAAUUCACUGCAUUGGAUCUUUUGUCCCUCUCUUAUGGCUAUCGGUGGUAACACAUGACUGUCAACACUUUUUCUGGUUAUGGUGUUAUUCUAGUCUGAUCAGGUAACUCUAGCUACCCCAUGAGCACCCUUAAGAUGAAACUGUGCCAUGUUUUUAUUUCCAAACCAUCUACAGUCUGACAGUGGUUCACCUUUUGUCAUAAGGGCUACCUCAAAACGGGCUGAUAGUCAAGGGAUGUGAUGGACAUUCAUGCCCCUGAUCAACUUUAGGCUGCUGGCAUCAUUGACAGGUGGAAGGGAUUUUUAAAAAAUCAUCUAAAAUUUAUUUCAGACUUUACCUCUCAUCUCUUCCUGUUCCAUAUUCUUCAGCAUGAAAGUUUGGUCAAUGCAUGUGGCUACAAUGAGUUAAUCUCUUGGCUGCCUCCUGGGUAAUGAACAGAUGAAAAAGGAGGAGAAUUAAAAUUAAUUAAAUAAUUAAAUAAUUAAUUAAUUAAAUAAUUAAAAAUUAUUUUGAAAAUUCAGGAUUCUACCCUCAUAAUUCCUGGGCAUCAUGUGUCUCUUUCUCUUAUCAGUUAUCUCAGGUAGGCAGGAUUGAUAUACCCUCUGGGUGGCAGCCUGGCCAAAAGGGAAGGUAGGGGGUUCAAACUGGUUUAGCAUCCUAGAUCCUAGCAACAUGGCUGUCUACGCAGGCAUCAUCAGAGCCCUCUGCAUCACUUCUGGAGAACAUGGGGGCAAGGAGAACCGAAACAUUGAUGAUGUUCACACGCCGCUUGCUGUAUUGUG